AUUUUCUUGUCACACAGGACCCCUGAAGCGAGCCUCCACUUCGACCACCCCGCUCCUAUCCGGUGGGUGACGUCCCCGUCAAUCUCUCCGUCCUGGAUCACAGACCCAAGGUAUCUCAUUCUGUCCCUCUUGAUGAUGGUCUGAGAACCAAGCAUCACAUCCUUGCCUACCCCACUCGGCUCGUCACCAAACUUGCACUCCAGAUAUUCUGUCUUAGAUCUGCUUA
rnacentral:lncRNA from 1 species